rnacentral:snoRNA from 1 species
AGCACUUGUGUGUGUUUUUGUUCGCUGGUGGACAAAAGCAGGUUAUAUAAGAGCAAAAAUAAAUCUUCCUUUGCAACUCCGAACUCAUUGUUCAGUGUGACACACACAAGAAGGAAUAUA